UCCUCCCACUGAAUUCCCUUGAUAUCCCACCGAGAAAGCCAGGGAUACUAAGGACCUUGGCUGGGGUCAGAGGUAGGUCAGAGGCUGACAGAGCAGGUCAGGUCUCCUCUACAACCUGGAUGGAGAGGAGUGUGUCCCUACUCCACAUCCAGGAGCUGGAGGUGACACUGGGCUAAGGAGAGGAAAAGAAUGUUCACCUCAGGGCCUUCCUCCUAGCUGACGACCGGCACCUCUCCCCUCUGGCUAUGCCAUCUCACCACCCUGGUCUCCAGGAGCCCACCCUGCCCUUCAUGCAAGGACUGGGACAGAUGAGCACGAGUAGAAGCCCUCGUGAGGCACGGAUUAGCAAUCCUCAUCCUGGUGGACAGGAGCUUCACGCACAGCCCCGGCCAGUGGGCUAGUGACCAAGAGCGCUCACCCCUGUCUGACAGUUUUUCAUCCCAGUCCCCCUGCGGAGCCAAUUCCUGACGCUAAUAUGGAAGUCAAGCACAGAUGUGGA